rnacentral:rRNA from 1 species
GACGAACGCUGGCGGCGUGCCUAACACAUGCAAGUCGAGCGGGAACCUCACGGAGGGGGUAACCCACCUGAGGGGAGAGCGGCGAACGGGUGAGUAACACGUGGGCAACCUGCCCCGGACACCGGGAGUAACCCAGGGGAAACCUGAGCUAAUACCGGAUACUCCGGCGCGAGUCGCAUGGUCGCUCCGGGAAAGCUCCGACGGUCCGGGAUGGGCCCGCGGCCUAUCAGGCUUGUUGGCGAGGUAACGGCNCACCAAGGCUUCGACGGGUAGCUGGUCUGAGAGGACGGACAGGCCACACUGGGACUGAGACACGGCCCAGACUCCUACGGGAGGCGAGCAGUGGGGAAUAUUGCGCUAAUGCGCGAAAGCGUGACGCAGCGACGCCGCGUGGGGA